rnacentral:rRNA from 1 species
GUUAUAUGGUCAAGUGAAGAAGCGCAUACGGUGGAUGCCUUGGCAGUCAGAGGCGAUGAAAGACGUGGUAGCCUGCGAAAAAGCUUCGGGGAGUCGGCAAACAGACUUUGAUCCGGAGAUGUCUGAAUGGGGGAACCCAGCCAUCAUAAGAUGGUUAUCUUGUACUGAAUACAUAGGUGCAAGAGGCGAACCAGGGGAACUGAAACAUCUAAGUACCCUGAGGAAAAGAAAUCAACCGAGAUUCCCUUAGUAGUGGCGAGCGAACGGGGACUAGCCCUUAAGUGGCUUUGAGAUUAGCGGAACGCUCUGGAAAGUGCGGCCAUAGUGGGUGAUAGCCCUGUACGCGAAAAUCUCUUAGUCAUGAAAUCGAGUAGGACGGAGCACGAGAAACUUUGUCUGAAUAUGGGGGGACCAUCCUCCAAGGCUAAAUACUACUGACUGACCGAUAGUGAACUAGUACCGUGAGGGAAAGGCGAAAAGAACCCCGGAGAGGGGAGUGAAAUAGAUCCUGAAACCGUAUGCGUACAAGCAGUGGGAGCAGACUUUGUUCUGUGACUGCGUACCUUUUGUAUAAUGGGUCAGCGACUUAUAUUCAGUGGCGAGCUUAACCGAAUAGGGGAGGCGUAGCGAAAGCGAGUCUUAAUAGGGCGUUUAGUCGCUGGGUAUAGACCCGAAACCGGGCGAUCUAUCCAUGGGCAGGUUGAAGGUUAGGUAACACUGACUGGAGGACCGAACCGACUACCGUUGAAAAGUUAGCGGAUGACCUGUGGAUCGGAGUGAAAGGCUAAUCAAGCUCGGAGAUAGCUGGUUCUCCUCGAAAGCUAUUUAGGUAGCGCCUCAUGUAUCACUGUAGGGGGUAGAGCACUGUUUCGGCUAGGGGGUCAUCCCGACUUACCAAACCGAUGCAAACUCCGAAUACCUACAAGUGCCGAGCAUGGGAGACACACGGCGGGUGCUAACGUCCGUCGUGAAAAGGGAAACAACCCAGACCGUCAGCUAAGGUCCCAAAGUUAUGGUUAAGUGGGAAACGAUGUGGGAAGGCUUAGACAGCUAGGAGGUUGGCUUAGAAGCAGCCACCCUUUAAAGAAAGCGUAAUAGCUCACUAGUCGAGUCGGCCUGCGCGGAAGAUGUAACGGGGCUCAAACCAUACACCGAAGCUACGGGUAUCACGUAAGUGAUGCGGUAGAGGAGCGUUCUGUAAGCCUGUGAAGGUGAGUUGAGAAGCUUGCUGGAGGUAUCAGAAGUGCGAAUGCUGACAUGAGUAACGACAAUGGGUGUGAAAAACACCCACGCCGAAAGACCAAGGUUUCCUGCGCAACGUUAAUCGACGCAGGGUUAGUCGGUCCCUAAGGCGAGGCUGAAAAGCGUAGUCGAUGGAAAACAGGUUAAUAUUCCUGUACUUCUAGUUAUUGCGAUGGAGGGACGGAGAAGGCUAGGCCAGCUUGGCGUUGGUUGUCCAAGUUUAAGGUGGUAGGCUGGAAUCUUAGGUAAAUCCGGGGUUCUAAGGCCGAGAGCUGAUGACGAGUUACCUUUUAGGUGACGAAGUGGUUGAUGCCAUGCUUCCAAGAAAAGCUUCUAAGCUUCAGAUAACUAGGAACCGUACCCCAAACCGACACAGGUGGUUGGGUAGAGAAUACCAAGGCGCUUGAGAGAACUCGGGUGAAGGAACUAGGCAAAAUGGCACCGUAACUUCGGGAGAAGGUGCGCCGGUGAGGGUGAAGGACUUGCUCCGUAAGCCCAUGCCGGUCGAAGAUACCAGGCCGCUGCGACUGUUUAUUAAAAACACAGCACUCUGCAAACACGAAAGUGGACGUAUAGGGUGUGACGCCUGCCCGGUGCCGGAAGGUUAAUUGAUGGGGUUAGCUAACGCGAAGCUCUUGAUCGAAGCCCCGGUAAACGGCGGCCGUAAACUAUAACGGUCCUAAGGUAGCGAAAUUCCUUGUCGGGUAAGUUCCGACCUGCACGAAUGGCGUAACGAUGGCGGCGCUGUCUCCACCCGAGACUCAGUGAAAUUGAAAUCGCUGUGAAGAUGCAGUGUAUCCGCGGCUAGACGGAAAGACCCCGUGAACCUUUACUAUAGCUUUGCACUGGACUUUGAAUUUGCUUGUGUAGGAUAGGUGGGAGGCUUUGAAGCGUGGACGCCAGUUCGCGUGGAGCCAUCCUUGAAAUACCACCCUGGCAACUUUGAGGUUCUAACUCAGGUCCGUUAUCCGGAUCGAGGACAGUGUAUGGUGGGUAGUUUGACUGGGGCGGUCUCCUCCUAAAGAGUAACGGAGGAGUACGAAGGUGCGCUCAGACCGGUCGGAAAUCGGUCGUAGAGUAUAAAGGCAAAAGCGCGCUUGACUGCGAGACAGACACGUCGAGCAGGUACGAAAGUAGGUCUUAGUGAUCCGGUGGUUCUGUAUGGAAGGGCCAUCGCUCAACGGAUAAAAGGUACUCCGGGGAUAACAGGCUGAUACCGCCCAAGAGUUCAUAUCGACGGCGGUGUUUGGCACCUCGAUGUCGGCUCAUCACAUCCUGGGGCUGAAGCCGGUCCCAAGGGUAUGGCUGUUCGCCAUUUAAAGUGGUACGCGAGCUGGGUUUAGAACGUCGUGAGACAGUUCGGUCCCUAUCUGCCGUGGACGUUUGAGAUUUGAGAGGGGCUGCUCCUAGUACGAGAGGACCGGAGUGGACGAACCUCUGGUGUUCCGGUUGUCACGCCAGUGGCAUUGCCGGGUAGCUAUGUUCGGAAAAGAUAACCGCUGAAAGCAUCUAAGCGGGAAACUUGCCUCAAGAUGAGAUCUCACUGGAACCUUGAGUUCCCUAAAGGGCCGUCGAAGACUACGACGUUGAUAGGUUGGGUGUGUAAGCGCUGUGAGGCGUUGAGCUAACCAAUACUAAUUGCCCGUGAGGCUUGACCAUAUAACACCCAAGCAAUU